CAGUCGCCACGGUAAUACGAAGGGUGCAAGCGUUACUCGGAAUUACUGGGCGUAAAGCGUGCGUAGGUGGUGGUUUAAGUCCGUUGUGAAAGCCCUGGGCUCAACCUGGGAAUUGCAGUGGAUACUGGGUCACUAGAGUGUGGUAGAGGAUAGUGGAAUUUCCGGUGUAGCAGUGAAAUGCGUAGAGAUCGGAAGGAACAUCUGUGGCGAAGGCGACUAUCUGGGCCAACACUGACACUGAGGCACGAAAGCGUGGGGAGCAAACAGGAUUAGAUACCCCAGUAGUCCCUGUCUUUAUACA
rnacentral:rRNA from 1 species